rnacentral:rRNA from 1 species
AGAGUUUGAUCCUGGCUCAGGAUGAACGCUAGCUACAGGCUUAACACAUGCAAGUCGAGGGGCAUCGGGGGAGAGCUUCGGCUUUCCCGCCGGCGACCGGCGCACGGGUGAGUAACGCGUAUCCAACCUGCCCAUGGCUGGGGGAUAACCUUGCGAAAGCAAGCCUAAUACCCCAUGGCCUCAUCCCGGGGCAUCCCGGUUUGAGUAAAGGAUUCCCGGCCAUGGAUGGGGAUGCGUCCGAUUAGCUUGCCGGUGGGGUGACGGCCCACCGGGGCGACGAUCGGUAGGGGUUCUGAGAGGAAGGUCCCCCACACUGGAACUGAGACACGGUCCAGACUCCUACGGGAGGCAGCAGUGAGGAAUAUUGGUCAAUGGGCGCGAGCCUGAACCAGCCAAGUAGCGUGCAGGACGACGGCCCUAUGGGUUGUAAACUGCUUUUGCGCGGGGAUAACUUCCGCCACGUGUGGCGGCUUGCAGGUACCGCGUGAAUAAGGACCGGCUAAUUCCGUGCCAGCAGCCGCGGUAAUACGGAAGGUCCGGGCGUUAUCCGGAUUCAUUGGGUUUAAAGGGAGCGUAGGCCGCGCGUCAAGCGUGCCGUGAAAUGCCGUGGCUCAACCAUGGCACCGCGGCGCGAACUGUCGCGCUUGAGUGGGCUCGAGGCAGGCGGAAUUCGUGGUGUAGCGGUGAAAUGCUUAGAUAUCACGAGGAACCCCGAUUGCGAAGGCAGCCUGCCAGCGCCGCACUGACGCUGAAGCUCGAAGGCGUGGGUAUCGAACAGGAUUAGAUACCCUGGUAGUCCACGCGGUAAACGAUGGACGCUCGCCGUGGGUCCUAUAUGGUUCCGUGGCCAAGCGAAAGCGUUAAGCGUCCCACCUGGGGAGUACGCCGGCAACGGUGAAACUCAAAGGAAUUGACGGGGGCCCG